ACGGAGGGUGCAAGCGUUAUCCGGAAUCACUGGGUUUAAAGGGUGCGUAGGCGGCGCGAUCAGUCAGUUGUGAAAUUCCCCGGCUUAACCGGCGGGACUGCGAUUGAUACUGUCGUGCUUGAAUCAGGUUGAGGUAGGCGGAAUGUGGCAUGUAGCGGUGAAAUGCUUAGAUAUGCCAUAGAACACCGAUUGCGAAGGCAGCUUGCUGGGCCUGUAUUGACGCUGAGGCACGAAAGCGUGGGGAGCAAACAGGAUUAGAUACCCUGGUAGUCCACGCCCUAAACGAUGUUUACUUGCUGUUCCGCCUUAGGGUGGAGUGGCGUAGCGAAAGCGAUAAGUAAACCACCUGGGGAGUACGCCGGCAACGGUG
rnacentral:rRNA from 1 species